rnacentral:rRNA from 1 species
CCCUUAGAUGUUCUGGGCUGCACGCGCGCUACACUGAUGCACUCAACGAGUUUACGACCUUGCCCGAUAGGGUUGGGUAAUCUUUUUAAAAUGCAUCGUGAUGGGGAUAGAUUAUUGCAAUUAUUAAUCUUCAACGAGGAAUUCCUAGUAAGCGCGAGUCAUCAGCUCGUGCUGAUUACGUCCCUGCCCUUUGUACAAACCGCCCGUCGCUCCUACCGAUUGAGUGCUCAGGUGAAUAAUUCGGACUGCAGCAAUGUUUGGAUCCCGAACGUUGCAGCGGAAAGUUUAGUGAACCUUAUCACUUAGAGGAAGGAGAAGUCGUAACA